AACGAACGCUGGCGGCAGGCCUAACACAUGCAAGUCGAGCGCGCCCUUCGGGGUGAGCGGCGGACGGGUGAGUAACGCGUGGGAACGUGCCCUUUUCUACGGAAUAGCCUCGGGAAACUGAGAGUAAUACCGUAUACGCCCUUCGGGGGAAAGAUUUAACGGAAAAGGAUAGGCCCGCGUUGGAUUAGGUAGUUGGUGGGGUAAUGGCCUACCAAGCCGACGAUCCAUAGCUGGUUUGAGAGGAUGAGCAGCCACACUGGGACGGAGACACGGCCCAGACUCCUACGGGAGGCAGCAGUGGGGAAUCUUAGACAAUGGGGGCAACCCUGAUCUAGCCAUGCCGCGUGAGUGAUGAAGUUCUUAGGGUUGUAAAGCUCUUUCAGCUGGGAAGAUAAUGACGGUACCAGCAGAAGAAGCCCCGGCUAACUCCGUG
rnacentral:rRNA from 1 species